rnacentral:lncRNA from 1 species
AAGCUCGAUCACUACAUGCAUGCAAUAUAUGAGCUUCUGGAUCUCUAACUUUCUGUUUAUAUUCUAUCCUCCAAAUAUCUAUCUUAAUAGAUUUCUCUCGCGAUCUCAGAAUCGACACGAUAUUCUCGUACAUCGAAUUUCAGAAUAAAGACUCCCAGAAGAAAAUAAGCUCCUUGAAGAUUGAAGACUUCAAAGCUAUUGAUCUCCCAUAGUGCCCAUUCUAUUACGGA